AUAGCGGAGGAAAAGAAAAUAACAAUGAUUCCCUCAGUAACGGCGAGCGAAGAGGGAUAAGCUCAAAUUUUAAAUCUGUUGGGUUCCACUUAACAGAGUUGUAUUUUGAAGAAACGUUUUCUGCGUCCAGGAUUAGCCUAAAUCCUUUGGGAUAAGGUAUCAUGGAGGGUGAGAAUCCCGUUCAUGGUUAAUCUUAAGGAAGCUCUACGAUACGUUUUCCAAGAGUCGAGUUGUUUGGGAUUGCAGCUCAAAAUGGGAGGUAAAUUUCUCCUAAGGCUAAAUAUUGGCGAGAGACCGAUAGCGAACAAGUACCGUGAGGGAAAGAUGAAAAGAACUUUGAAAAGAGAGUUAAACAGUACGUGAAAUUGUUGAAAGGGAAACGAUUGAAGUCAGUCAUACCAACGGGAAAUCAACCUUUUGAGCUCGGUCUCGUGGGUUUUGAAGAGUUUCAAAGCCUUCGGAUUCGCGGGAUUGGGAUCUCUUGGUGUACUUUUUCGUACGGUUAGUCAACAUCGGUUUUGAAUGUCAUAAAAUGACUGGAGGAAUGUAGCUUCGAUCUCGUAUUGAAGUGUUAUAGCCUUUGGUAGAUGUGAUGUUUGAGACCGAGGAUUGCAACGGAUACCCUUCAGGGCUAUUCGUCUGAUCUCUGAUACGUUGCCUUGAUGUUGAAAGCUUGCUUAUGAUGUUAGGGUAUUACGGUCAAAAGGUUAGAACGAAUUACAUUCGUUAAGGAUGUUGACGUAAUGACUUUAAACGACCCGUCUUG
rnacentral:rRNA from 1 species